rnacentral:rRNA from 1 species
GACGAACGCUGGCGGCGUGCUUAACACAUGCAAGUCGAACGGAAAGGCCCUGCUUUUGUGGGGUGCUCGAGUGGCGAACGGGUGAGUAACACGUGAGUAACCUGCACUUGACUGUGGGAUAACUUCAGGAAACUGGGGCUAAUACCGGAUAGGAGCUCUUGCUGCAUGGUGGGGGUUGGUAAGUUUCGGCGGUUGGGGAUGGACUCGCGGCUUAUCAGCUUGUUGGUGGGGUAGUGGCUUACCAAGGCUUUGACGGGUGGCCGGCCUGAGAGGGUGAGCGGCCAAAUCGGACCUGAGAUACGGCCCAGCCCCGUCCCGGAGGCAGCAGUGGGGAAUAGUGCACAAUGGGCGGAAGCCAGACGCAGCAACGCCGCGUGCGGGAUGACGGCCUUCGGGUUGUAAACCGCUUUCGCCUGUGACGAAGCGUGAGUGACGGUAAUGGGUAAAGAAGCACCGGCUAACUACGUG